UACCGGAUGGUGCAGUGGUUACCACACCUGCCUAGUAAGCAGGAGAUCCCGGGUUCAAAUCCCAGUCUGAUAC
rnacentral:tRNA from 1 species